GGUUGUUCUGGGUGGUCUGGAGAUUUGUGCAUCUUGGACCUGCACAAAUCUCUGGACCACUUAGCCUUUA
rnacentral:miRNA from 1 species